CCGCUGGUGCAAUCUGGGAAACCAGGCACUGGAGGAACGUCCGGACUGCACAGGACAGCGUAGGAGGUAACACCUCUCCACCGUGAGGUGAGGAUCAGAGCAACAGAGACGAGUCGGCCUUGGGGCAACCCCGGGCCGGGUGAAACGGGCAAUCUCUACGCGCAGCAAUACCAAGUAGGCCAACGUUGAUGUGGUUCCGCAGAGUUGGCGGGUAGGUAGCAUUGAGCCGCGGGGGCGACCCCCGGCCCAGAUUAAUGGCGGUCACACGGGCAACCGAAAGGAAGCCCGGCGCACAGAAUCCGGCUUAUCGGUGGGCUUCACAC
rnacentral:RNase_P_RNA from 1 species